GAUUGCUGCUAUUAGAAUUCGAUUAAGCCAUGCAAGUCAGGUAGUAAUACCGGCGACAGGCUCAGUAACGCGUCGAUAAUCUGCCCUUAGGUCGAGGAUAACCACGGGAAACUGUGGGUAAUACUCGAUAGGAAAGUUGCUCUGGAACGUGCACUUUCUGAAACUCGAGCCUAAGGAUGAGUUGGCGGCCGAUUAGGCAGUUGGCGGUGUAACGGACCACCAAACCUAUGAUCGGUACGGGCCUUGAAAGAGGUAGCCCGGAGAAGGAAACUGAAACACUGUUCCUAGCCCUACGGGGUGCAGCAGGCGCGAAACUUUUACAAUGCACGAAAGUGUGAUAAGGGGAUUCUAAGUGCAUGCACUUUGUGUAUGCUUUUGCUAAGAGUAAACAUCUUGGCGAAUAAGUGGUGGGCAAGACUGGUGCCAGCCGCCGCGGUAACACCAGCGCCACGAGUGGCAAUCGCGUAUUUGGCCUAAAGCGUCCGUAGCUGGUUUAGCAAAUCUUUUGUGAAAUCGUUAUUGUCAACAUAACGGCGUGCAGAAGACACUACUAAGCUUGAGACCGGGAGGAGUUAGAAGUAUUCUGGGGGGAGCGGUAAAAUGCAAUAAUCCUCAGAGGACUGCCGGUGGCGAAGGCGUCUAACUAGAACGGAUCUGACAGUGAGGGACGAAAGCCAGGGGAGCGAACCGGAUUAGAUACCCGAGUAGUCCUGGCCGUAAACGCUGCGAGCAAGGUGUUGCCUUUUCUAUAGGAAGGGGCAGUGUCGAAACGAAGGUGAUAAGCUCGCCGCCUGGGAAGUACGGUCGCAAGACUGAAACU
rnacentral:rRNA from 1 species